rnacentral:rRNA from 1 species
AAGAGGACUUGCUCUUCUGGAUGAGUUGCGAACGGGUGAGUAACGCGUGGGGAAAA